rnacentral:rRNA from 1 species
AACGUAGGAGACAAACGUUAUCCGGAGUUACUGGGCGUAAAGGGCGUGUAGGUGGUUUUGUAAGUCUGGCGUGAAAUUUUUCGGCUUAACCGGGAAAGGUCGUCGGAUACUGCAAGGCUAGAGGACGGUAGAGGCGUGUGGAAUUCCGGGUGUAGUGGUGAAAUGCGCAGAUAUCGGGAAGAACACCUAUGGCGAAGGCAGCUCUCUGGGACGGUACUGACGCUGAGACGCGAAAGCGUGGGGAGCGAACAGG